GACGAACGCUGGCGGCGUGCUUAACACAUGCAAGUCGAACGGAAAGGCCCUGCUUUUGUGGGGUGCUCGAGCGGCGAACGGGUGAGUAACACGUGAGUAACCUGCCCUUGACUUUGGGAUAACUUCAGGAAACUGGGGCUAAUACCGGAUAGGAGCUCCUGCUGCAUGGUGGGGGUUGGAAAGUUUCGGCGGUUGGGGAUGGACUCGCGGCUUAUCAGCUUGUUGGUGGGGUAGUGGCUUACCAAGGCUUUGACGGGUAGCCGGCCUGAGAGGGUGACCGGCCACAUGGGGACUGAGAUACGGCCCAGACUCCUACGGGAGGCAGCAGUGGGGAAUAUUGCACAAUGGGCGGAAGCCUGAUGCAGCAACGCCGCGUGCGGGAUGACGGCCUUCGGGUUGUAAACCGCUUUCGCCUGUGACGAAGCGUGAGUGACGGUAAUGGGUAAAGAAGCACCGGCUAACUACGUG
rnacentral:rRNA from 1 species